rnacentral:rRNA from 1 species
UACGUAGGUGGCAAGCGUUGUCCGGAAUUAUUGGGCGUAAAGCGCGCGCAGGCGGUCCUUUAAGUCUGAUGUGAAAGCCCACGGCUCAACCGUGGAGGGUCAUUGGAAACUGGGGGACUUGAGUGCAGAAGAGGAAAGUGGAAUUCCAAGUGUAGCGGUGAAAUGCGUAGAGAUUUGGAGGAACACCAGUGGCGAAGGCGACUUUCUGGUCUGUAACUGACGCUGAGGCGCGAAAGCUAGGGGAGCAAACGGG